GAUGAAGAACGCAGCGAAAUGCGAUAAGUAAUGUGAAUUGCAGAAUUCAGUGAAUCAUCGAAUCUUUGAACGCACAUUGCGCCCGCCAGUAUUCUGGCGGGCAUGCCUGUUCGAGCGUCAUUACAACCCUCAGGCCCCCGGGCCUGGCGUUGGGGAUCGGCGGAAGCCCCCUGCGGGCACAACGCCGUCCCCCAAAUACAGUGGCGGCCCCGCCGCAGCUUCCAUUGCGUAGUAGCUAACACCUCGCAACUGGAGAGCGGCGCGGCCACGCCGUAAAACACCCAACUUCUGAAUGUUGACCUCGAAUCAGGUAGGAAUACCCGCUGAACUUAAGCAUAUCAAUAAGCGGAGGA
rnacentral:misc_RNA from 1 species